CCAGCCCACACCCUGCUAGGGCACAUGGUCCAGGAACAGUGUGCAGGGGAACUCCCCACCCAACACCCAUCUGCUCAUGCAGACACCACACCACUAUGCCUGACACACAAAACACCAUGCUCUCUGAGACAGGUUCUUCACUAGCCCAGACAGUCUCGAGAGGGAAAGGCCUAAGCCUCUAUCAGGACCUAGACCCAGUGAUAUUUCCUCAGGGAGAGCACCUGGCCGGGAGGCUCCUGUACCCCUGCCGAACUGGCUAAGAGUCGGAGCAGUUCUGUGACCUCCUCUUCUACCUAGGCUCCUUCACUCCUCAUUAAGGUUGAUCAGUGCUUCCAAUGGUCACUGAGCCUUUUUAGAAAGUCAUUUUGGCUGCAGAAGACCACAGGAUUGUAUUGGUUCUGGCAUUCUGCUGCCAACAAGAACACUGCCACAGAUGCACGUGGCCUCAGGCAUGUGUUGCCAAGAAUAUCACCACAGAUGCACGUGGCCCCAGGCAUGUGCAGUCCUGGUUUCUGCAGCGCUCAGCCAGUACUGACACACCCACGGUCACCUCAGACAUGGGGUCUUCAGCUGCCCGCAUCAGCACAAUUUGGAUGACACGGCCUUCAUAGAUGUGGGCAUCGAAUGUUGUCUUCCACUCAGGAUACAUGGUGGGCUUCUUCUGUACCAGUGUCUUCCCUCGAUCUGCGACAGGGCCAGGCAGAGAAGUCAGACUGGGACUAGUCCCUGCUUCCCCGGACCUCCUUAUCCCUCAAUGCCACACAGUCUACUUUCUCUCCCACCCCAAGGAUGUGCUAUGGCUCUCAGGCAUCACACUGAACACCCAGCAGCCUCUAGUGCCUAGAGGGCACUCUGUCAGGUCCCACUAAGUGCUUUGGUCUGCUGUUCCCUUUCCUGUGCUCCAUUUCAACUUCCCUUUCUGUCUGCACUCACCCAGUGAUCACAUAAAAGAGCUGCCACAGGUCAGCCAUGCCUGAUGGCAAGGAACAUGGCCUGGUCCUGUCUCAAGUCCCAGACAGAGACAUGAACCCCUGCACUCCUCAGGUAAGCCACUAAGUCACGGCUGUGAUGGGACUGACAAGGACAGAGACGGUGGUUCUGAACCCUCCGGCAAUCAAGUGGCCUGACCCUAAGAUUCAGAGAAGACUUCCUAGAGGAGGGGCCAUCUCAGUCAGAACCUAACAGGUGCCUAGGCAGAAGCUAUCAGGGAACAGAUGAAAAGAGGAGAGGGCAGAGAUGGAAACAAAUAUGGCAGGAACAGCACAAACACUUAUGAGGACAGAAGAGCAAGACCUGGGAAACUGGUCUGGGUCCCUGUCCUUGCCAGAGACCAGAAGCCUUGAGGUGAGGAAGGCAAUGGCCAAGCCACAGAGACAGGUCACCUUCUCCAGAACAAACAGAAACUUGUUUCCAACCAGCCCAAGGCACGGAGAGAGGCUAGCCUCAAGAUCCCUGGGCACUGACCCUCGAGGAGCCCUGGUCCUUCCUCACACAGCCUUCUACUACCCACACCUGCCUAACCUCAGACUGGCACCCACUGCCUGCCAUGGAAAGUUUCAUCUACUGCCAAGACUAGAUGCAGAUGUUGGCAAAAUGGU